GGUUAAGCGACUAAGCGUACACGGUGGAUGCCCUGGCAGUCAGAGGCGAUGAAGGACGUGCUAAUCUGCGAUAAGCGUCGGUAAGGUGAUAUGAACCGUUAUAACCGGCGAUUUCCGAAUGGGGAAACCCAGUGUGUUUCGACACACUAUCAUUAACUGAAUCCAUAGGUUAAUGAGGCGAACCGGGGGAACUGAAACAUCUAAGUACCCCG
rnacentral:rRNA from 1 species